rnacentral:rRNA from 1 species
GGACGAACGCUGGCGGCACGCUUAACACAUGCAAGUCGAACGAACGGAGAUAGCUUGCUAUCAAAGUUAGUGGCGGACGGGUGAGUAACACGUGAGCAAUCUGCCUUUAAGUGGGGAAUAACGAUUGGAAACGGUCGGUAAUACCGCAUAAUAUAGCGAAACCGCAUGAUUUUGCUAUCAAAGAUUUAUCGCUUAUAGAUGAGCUCGCGUCUGAUUAGCUGGUUGGUGAGGUAACGGCUCACCAAGGCGACGAUCAGUAGCCGGACUGAGAGGUUGAACGGCCACAUUGGGACUGAGACACGGCCCAGACUCCUACGGGAGGCAGCAGUGGGGAAUAUUGCACAAUGGGCGCAAGCCUGAUGCCAGCGAUGCCGCGUGAGGGAAGAAGGUUUUCGGAUUGUAAACCUCUGUUGACAGGGACGAUAAUGACGGUACCUGUUCAGAAAGCUCCGGCUAACUACGUGCCAGCAGCGGC